UGGGGAAUAUUGCACAAUGGGGGAAACCCUGAUGCAGCGACGCCGCGUGGAGGAAGAAGGUCUUCGGAUUGUAAACUCCUGUUGUUGAGGAAGAUAAUGACGGUACUCAACAAGGAAGUGACGGCUAACUACGUGCCAGCAGCCGCGGUAAAACGUAGGUCACAAGCGUUGUCCGGAAUUACUGGGUGUAAAGGGAGCGCAGGCGGGAAGACAAGUUGGAAGUGAAAUCUAUGGGCUCAACCCAUAAACUGCUUUCAAAACUGUUUUUCUUGAGUAGUGCAGAGGUAGGCGGAAUUCCCGGUGUAGCGGUGGAAUGCGUAGAUAUCGGGAGGAACACCAGUGGCGAAGGCGGCCUACUGGGCACCAACUGACGCCGAGGCUCGAAAGUGCGGGUAUCAAAC
rnacentral:rRNA from 1 species